CUCAUUUUUCUACUGCUCGUGGUAAGUGGCUUCGUGGUCUUUAUAGCUGUUACUCUUUUGUACUUUGUCUUUUUCUUUUAUUUUCUUUUGAGCGAUUGUGCGAACAUAGCAUAGCACGCACUAUGCCUUCUGUGUUGUAGCUGCCUGGCCAGGGCGACUGGCGGAUAAGGUCUUGUGCGUGGCCUCGAGGCUUAAAAGUAGCAGUGGGGCUUUGUGAAGGACAAAAUGGCGAUGGCGGGCCGUGUAGGUCCCCCUUCCUAUGAUGAGGACCUUUUCACAGACCUGUACUGAGCUCCGUGAGGAUAAAUAACUCUGAGGAGAUGGGCCCUGCAAGCCUCUUGCUUAGCCGUCUGUUCAGAAAAUAGCGUUUUCGAAAUGCCCUGAGUUGACCUAAUGUCUUAUUGGGCUCCUGUCUGCAGGAUUUACGCGCACGUUGGAACCGAAGAGAGCUCUGUUGUUGCAAUGUUCAGCCCACAAGAGCUUACUGGUGAAGGAAUGGGACAAGACCCAUCUUUAUGCAAAGCCAGCGUUACAGUAAUGUUCCAGCAUCUCAUAAUCUAUCCUGGGGAAUUCAGCUGCCUCCCAGGGUGAAUACAGGUAUUCCUGAUGACAGUCUGCCUCUAUCUUACAGAGCAGCUUGUUGCUAUAUACCAUUGAAAAGCCUUCAGAGCUGAGAGGUACUACUAACCAAUAACCUGCUUGGCUCAAAGGGCCAGCACCUUCUCUCUAAAGCCCAAGAGGAGUUUGAGGAAAACUAGGUGUCUGUGUUCACUCCAGGCUGAAGUUACAGGUCUGAGCAAAUAAGGUGUAUAAAAAAUGGAAUCUGUCUUGGAGGACAUCAGAAGGUGAAUUUUCCAAGUUCUUGGACAACCUAGCUGUUGAAAAGCUUUCUGGGUUUGGGGGGUAUUUCAGAUGUACCUUAAAGUGUUAGCAGACACAGAUUAAGACACUGGGAGCCAAUGAAACAGCAGUUGAGGGUUUGCUGUGUAUCACAUUUCUGUAUUUUAUCACCCCCUUCCUGCAACAUUAUUUAUCUGGAAUCUACCUGCCCUUUUGUUUUUUAGAUACAAGGGCUUGGUUUUGUUACCCAGGCUGGUUUCAAGGCCAUAGCUUUAAGAGAUCCUCUCACCACAGAUUUCCAAAGUGCUGGGAUUGCAGGUGUGAUUCAUGGCACCCAGACUUUGCUGCCUUUCUUACAUGAUCCAGGCCCAGAACCCAAACUCAGGCACUGUAUAGAUGACCACUUUCGUAAACUACUGACCUAGCUUGUUGCCAAUUGUUGAUUGAACUUCCCAUAACUCCACUUCGUGUCUGUUCCUCUGUAUACAGCCACCUUCUGUUCCCGUCAUGAGCCUUUAGGUCUCCAUUUGCAUAUUGCAAAUACUAUGUUCCAUGUAGGUAGCUCAUUCAGGGCCUUGCUCUUCACUUCAAAAAAGGUUCCCUUGAGGACUGGCUGUCAAUUUGUGUUGCUGUGUUGGUUGUUGAUGAAAAUAAUAAAAUGAUUGAUUACAUA
rnacentral:lncRNA from 1 species